rnacentral:misc_RNA from 1 species
UAAUAAGUGUUUUAUGGCACUUUUUAAAUCCAUAUCCACCUUGUGUGCAAUGUCAGUCGAUCUUCUUCAUGGAGAUCGACCAAACAUCAACCUUUAUUUUUUAACUCUUUGUCUGAAAACAUAUUAUGAAUAAACCAUUCAAAAUA